GAGUUUGAUCGUGGCUCAGAUUGAACGCUGGCGGCAGGCCUAACACAUGCAAGUCGAGCGGAUGACGGGAGCUUGCUCCUUGAUUCAGCGGCGGACGGGUGAGUAAUGCCUAGGAAUCUGCCUGGUAGUGGGGGACAACGUUUCGAAAGGAACGCUAAUACCGCAUACGUCCUACGGGAGAAAGCAGGGGACCUUCGGGCCUUGCGCUAUCAGAUGAGCCUAGGUCGGAUUAGCUAGUUGGUGGGGUAAUGGCUCACCAAGGCGACGAUCCGUAACUGGUCUGAGAGGAUGAUCAGUCACACUGGAACUGAGACACGGUCCAGACUCCUACGGGAGGCAGCAGUGGGGAAUAUUGGACAAUGGGCGAAGGCCUGAUCCAGCCAUGCCGCGUGUGUGAAGAAGGUCUUCGGAUUGUAAAGCACUUUAAGUUGGGAGGAAGGGCAGUAAGUUAAUACCUUGCUGUUUUGACGUUACCGACAGAAUAAGCACCGGCUAACUCUGUGCCAGCAG
rnacentral:rRNA from 1 species